UUCUUAUACUGGAUUCACUACUCUAAUGUUAACUUGAUGAUGUCUAUUUAAUCUAAGGACUAAACAGCACCUCUGCAUCAUUGAGAAGGCGGCCUUUGAAACAAAUAUUCAAGGAAAGGCUAGUGCAUGUACAGUCCUGGCUGAGUCUUCCCCACGAUUCUAAAAGGUCAGCAUUAAAAGAAGAAGCUAAGAAUUCCAAUCCUAAGCAGUCACAUUUUUAUGGGAUCCAGGAAGCAAGUAUGAGCUGCCUGAUAUACACACCAGGAAGAGGAUACCUGAGGCGGGGAGCUGGUGUCCCAGGAGACUGCUUCUAAAAGGACCCUGUUCAUUUAAUGCCGGGAAAGAGAAAAUGGGCAAUGCCAUGGCCAUAUCCAGAGGCUACACAUAAGAGCUAGGUGCAAACAGGAGCAAACUGAUGUCAAGUGGGUGGCCCUGCCCUUGUCCCAAGUAACACUGAGACUUGCUGUGAUUUGCUGCCUUCCUUUAUUCCUCCCUUAGAAUAUGCAUUUGCAAUCCUCAGAUUCAUUGUUCAGUAUAAAGGGAC